rnacentral:rRNA from 1 species
AAUGAACGUUGGCGGCGUGGAUUAGGCAUGCAAGUCGAGCGAGAACCCCGCAAGGGGGGACAGCGGCGAAAGGGACAGUAAUGUGUAGAUUAUCUGCCCUCAGGUCCGGGAUAGCUGCGGGAAACUGCAGGUAAUACCGGAUAACAUCUCCGGAUCAAAGGUGUGAUUCCGCCUGAGGAUGAGUCUGCAUCCUAUUAGCUAGUUGGUGGGGUAAUGGCCUACCAAGGCAUUGAUGGGUAGCAGGUGUGAGAGCACGACCUGCGUCAUUGGGACUGAGACACUGCCCAGACACCUACGGGUGGCUGCAGUCGAGAAUCUUCGGCAAUGGGCGCAAGCCUGACCGAGCGACGCCGCGUGUGGGAUGAAGGCCUUCGGGUUGUAAACCACUGUCAGAGGGGAUGAAAUGCAGGUGGGUUCUCCCAUCUGUUUGACAUAGCCUCAGAGGAAGGACGGGCUAAGUUC